UCCGUAGGCGGAUCUGUAAGUCAGUGGUGAAAUCUCAUAGCUUAACUAUGAAACUGCCAUUGAUACUGCAGGUCUUGAGUAAAGUAGAAGUGGCUGGAAUAAGUAGUGUAGCGGUGAAAUGCAUAGAUAUUACUUAGAACACCAAUUGCGAAGGCAGGUCACUAUGUUUUAACUGACGCUGAUGGACGAAAGCGUGGGGAGCGAACAGGAUUAGAUACCCUGGUAGUCCACGCCGUAAACGAUGCUAACUCGUUUUUGGGUCUUUAAGAUUCAGAGACUAAGCGAAAGUGAUAAGUUAGCCACCUGGGGAGUACGUUCGCAAGAAUGAA
rnacentral:rRNA from 1 species